rnacentral:rRNA from 1 species
ACCUACGGGGGGCAGCAGUGGGGAAUAUUGCACAAUGGGGGAAACCCUGAUGCAGCGACGCCGCGUGAGCGAGGAAGUACCUCUGUAUGUAAAGCUCUGUCAGCAGGGAAGAAAAUGACAGUACCUGACCAAGAAGCCCCGGCUAACUACGUGCCAGCAGCCGCGGUAAUACGUAGGGGGCAAGCGUUAUCCGGAUUCACUGGGCGUAAAGGGAGCGCAGGCGGCACGGCAAGUCUGAUGUGAAAGCCCGGGGCUCAACCCCGGUACUGCAUUUGAACCUGUCCAGCUGGAGUGCAGGAGAGGUA